rnacentral:rRNA from 1 species
UAAUGUAUGGGGAUCUGCCUGAUGGCGGGGGAUAACUACUGGAAACGGUAGCUAAUACUGCAUAAUGUCUGCGGACCAAAGCGGGGGACCUCCGGGCCUCGCGCCAUCAGAUGAACCCAUAUGGGAUUAGCUUGUAGGUAAGGUAACGGCUUACCUAGGCGACGAUCCCUAGCUGGUCUGAGAGGAUGAUCAGCCACACUGGGACUGAGACACGGCCCAG